rnacentral:lncRNA from 10 species
UGCGCCCACACGGCUGGCCUGAACAUGAGGCAGUGACUCCCGGCUGGAAGGGACCCCGAGGACAGCAAAUACCGAGAGGAGGCUCACCGCAAAGAAAGGGGAAGUACAAACUGUCCAAAUGGCUAGGAGGGGAGGACGUUGGUUCUGACACAGCCUGGGACCUACUCCUGACCCAGACGUGUGGCUCGGAGGAUGGGUUUCAGGAAGCCUGGCUGAGGGUGAGCACAGGAGGGUGAGCACAGGAGGCCGAGGCAGCUGGCUUGCUUGAGCCCAGGAGUUAGAGACCAGCUUGGGGCAACGUAGCAAGACCCCGUCUCUACAAAAAAAUUCAAAAAUUAAUCAGGCAUGGUGAUGCAUCUUUGCAAUCCCAGCUACUCAGGAGACUGAGGCAGGAGGGUCACCUGAGCCCAGGGAGGCCAAGGCUGCAAUGAGUUCUGAUCAUGCCAUUGCACUCCAGCCUGGGUGAGUUAGUGAAACCCUGUCUCAAAAAACAAAAAACAAAACCAAAAAAACGCUGGAACCAGAGGAGACCAAACAAGUGCAAAGGAAAGUAGGAACACCCUUCUUUACAGAGCCUCUUACACCUGCUGGGGCUGGAGCAGCCACAGCCGCAGCCUUAGCAGACAGGGACACAAGUCGUCCACGGCACCAGGGGCAGCGGCCCGGGAGCCUGGGCAACCUGUUACCACCAUUAGUCCUGCUCAUUACCUCUCACCCUCCACUAGAGACCCGUGAAGACAGGUGUCUUGUCCUGUUCACUUCUGUCUCCCCAACACCUAGUACAUAAUUAAUAAUUCAUAGCUUUGUAUCAAACAAUGAACAAAUGAUACAUCUGAAACCCAUUUAAUGUGCAGACACACCUUGUUAUCCACGUGCAUCUCCCACUCUGGAUUUUCCACAGCAAACACCUCCUCCUCCUGGCUCCUAGCCCGCUCCUGGGCCAUCCCACCCUCGCUUUCUGUGAGCUCAAGGAUUACAAACUAAUCCUAAUAUAUUUGCCUGAGCAGAACCUAAUUAGGAAGGUAAAUCUGCAAAAAAUAAAAGGUAAAACAAAAUAAAAACCCAAGGAGAGUGGCCUCUAACCCCUGGAGCAGAAGGAAAGGUGGUUUGGGCUUCCUUGUUCUAUAGUGUCCCUCUCUCAGCCCAAAUAAGGGGAAAAGCCUUCUCUCUCCAACAGGCAAGGCCAAAGGGAAAAGCAGAGGGGGGGUUUGUAAAAAAGGCAGCUGCACCUGCAAUCCCACCAUGGAAGUGGCCUUGGGGGUACAUUUUACCUAUCUUCCUGCUUCCAGGGCUUAGAAUUUCAGAUCCACCAGAGACUCCAGCAAAUGGUUAGAUAUUUUUAUUGCAAGGUAACUGAAAACCCAAUUCCAAGUGGCUUAAGAAAAAAAAAAAGGCAGGUAUGUGUGUAUGUAUGUGAGCGUGUGCAGACAAGCAGAAUUUGUUGGUGCAUGUAACCAAGAAGUCCAGGGGUAGGUAGAAGUGGCAAAAUACAGCGACUUGAACAAAUUACUUACUCCCCAUCUCUCCUCCAUAUCUUACAGGCAGACUGUCUCCAAACAGUGUCUCUGCCAGCAACCAACCUCGACCCUCCCCACUCCACGGCCAAUGGUCAAGAGUACCUUUUCUAGUCCAAGGAGCAAAAGUCCCAGACUAGCAGUGAUUGGGCCUGAUUGGCUCCUCUUCGGCCACAUGGGCAUCCAUGAGCCAAUCAUAUGGUCAGAGGGACUUACUACUUGAAUGGGUCAGCUCUCGGUCACACGUUCUUCCCCUGGGAGCAGGGUAGUGUUCAUCCACCUGCUGCCCAAGGAUGGCAAGUAAGAGAGUGUGUGGCUCCUAAAGGAAGAUGAACAAACAGAACGUGCUUGCUCCAAUAAAGGGAAAUGGAGGCUGCAUGACAAAGAGGAGAUGUCCACCAUAAAACUGAAUAGUGAGAAGGACAGGGGAAGUUUUAAAGUUCUAUGGGCAGGCCAAACAAUGGCCUGGAGAUGGGAAAAGAAUGACAUGUGUUGAGUAGGACUGGUGGAGCUGGGCUGAUGAGGGAGGAGCGUUCCAAAACUUAGAUCCUCAGUCUCAGAGUGUAGCCAUCAUGGGCACAUGGCCUGAGGUGCUCCAGGGCCCCGUGGUGCUGUGGAGUCCUGAAGGGCCUGGGCUGGCUGUGGAAAGAAGUAUCUGAAAAUCCUUGCUUUGGGGGACACCAAAAUGAUGUGUUAGCCUAUGUCUGCUUUCUAGGGUAAAUAAAGGUACACACACACACACACACACACACACAAACUAGCAAAAGAGAAGAGGAAGCAGCAGAAACAUCAAUCAUAGGGCUGAAGCUGGAGCUGAGGAGCUGCUCUGUCUCCAAAUCCAUAUCUACUUUGGGUUUUCUGAGGCAGAGGAGCCCACCAAGGAAAGCAUCAGAACAUAACAGAGAGCUGAUCCCAAGGCACUGGGGAUUGGCUAAAUUGUGGGGCAGCCCAACCCGGGGCAACUCUGAAGGGAUGAGUUUCCAAGGAUCAGACAUAAUUCAGUCCAGGGGCAUUUAGUAGGCAUCUAGCGUGUGCAGGCCCAUGGGCUGUGUAGUACAGAGUGAACAGUCAAGAGAAGUGCCAUACGGCCUCUGAACCUUGAGCCAGGCUCAUCACAGGACAUCCUCACUCUGCCUGCAUCAGCUUGUCAGUGGACCUCUGCAAGGGCAGAGAUGCCUCUCAUUCCUCUGGGAGGUCUCCUUGAGUCUGCACACAGCAGUUACUCAAUAUUUGCAUCUGUUGACAAAUAAGUGAAUGAAUGAGUUCCUCAACAAAAAUGGACAUGAUAUAAAGGAAGUUGCCAUUUAUUGAGAACUAUUUAUAUGCCAAGUAGUCAAGAAUGCUCAGUGAUCAUCUAUGGUCAGGUUUAUUGAGUGCCCACAGUGUUCCCAUGCUAGAAAUACACAGUGCAUUUCUAGCCACUCUCAAGAACUUAUGCUAUAGAAGGUAUCACCACCUCCAUCUUCAAAUGAAGGAAACUGAGGCUCAGAGGGAUUAAGGAGAAUGCUCAUGGUUGCACAAAUAUGAAAUGGAAAAGCUAGCACCUGCCAAAAAUUAGAUUAAAAUAUAAAUCUCUUUGAUUCUAAAGACAGACCAACCCAGCACUUGCUCCAUUAUUAAGUGAAAUAAAAAUCAAAUUCACUUAUACAGGCACUGAAGAAGGCCAGGUUAAUUCUUAUUUGGGUUGGGGAGGUAAAGGUAUCCCAAAGUGGGUGGCAUUGAGCUGAACCUGAAGGAUGGAGGAGUCUUCCCAUAUAAGGUAGCAUGAGAAGGGUCCCAGGAAGAGGGACCAGUGUCAGCAAAGAUCCAGUGUUGCAAAGUUGCCAGGUGAGUUGUGGCACUACUGGGAUGGCACUUUGUAAGCAAAGAAAAUUCCAGAUGGGCUAAGAAGCUGAUGAGGCUGGAUACAGAGAUAAUGGCCAGCUCACAGGGGUCUGAGAGCCCAAGGGCUUGUCCUAUUAUAAUAGGUUCUAUUUAUUAAGUCUUCACUCUGUGCCAGGCACUAUGCCAAGCACUUUCCAUGUAUCAUCUUAUAGCACUAUUACUUAUACUAUUUGUAAGUACUUAUUACUAUUAUCUUACAGUAAAGUAUUACUUUCUCUACUGUACAGAUGGGGCAACUGAGGCUUAAAGGGUACAAGUGGCUGCCCUAAGUCAUGUGGCUAGAGGCUGGAACUCAGGCAGCCUGCCUGCAACCAUGAGGUCUACUGCUGCUGCAUGGAGAAGGGGAGGUUUGAGGGAGGCAGGAGGAUGAGGACCCUGCCUCUUUCUCCAGCCGCACCAACCCAGCUGGAGGGGAGCUGAAAAGGAGGCUGUCGAUUCAAGGCCCGCCCCAAUCCCUGAAAAGGGGCCGUCACUUCGUGUGCCCCUUCCAAGCAGACAAGCAGAGCAAGGAGCAGAUGGGAAGUUGCCCACCCAGGGACCAGCUCCAAACCUUCCAGAAACCUGCAAACAUGAAACAAUCAUAGAUGAGACGAGGCUUGAAAGCCACCAUUUUUAAAAUAAAAGGAAAUCGC